rnacentral:tRNA from 4 species
GGCUCAUUAGCUUAGUUGGUAGAGCACCUGACUCUUAAUCAGGGGGUCCUGGGUUCGAGUCCCAGAUGGGUCA